rnacentral:rRNA from 1 species
AUGACGGUACCUCAUGAAUAAGGGGCUGCAAAACUCGUGCCAGCAGCAGCGGUAAAACGAGUGCCCCAAGCGUUACCCGGAAUUACUGGGCGUAAAGAGUGCGUCGGUGGUUCUGAUUAGUCCUCCGUUAAAACUCCCGGCCCAACCGGGAAGCUGCGGAGGAAACGGCAGAACUAGAGAAGGCGAGGGGUCUAUGGAACUCAUGGUGUAGGGGUGAAGUCCGUUGAUAUCAUGGGGAACACCAAAAGCGAAGGCAAUAGACUGGCGCCUGUCUGACACUCAAGCACGAAAGCGUGGGGAGCGAACGGGAUUAGAUACCCCGGUAGUCCACGCCCUAAACGAUGUUCUCUAGCUUUUUGGAGUAUCGACCCUCUGAGAGGCACAGCUAACGCGUUAAGAGAACCGCCUGGGAAGUACGGCCGCAAGGCUAAAACUCAAAAGAAUAGACGGGGGCUCGCACAAGCGGUGGAUUAUGUGGUUUAAUUCGAUGCUAAACGAAGAACCUCACCAAGGCUAGACAUCCAACUGAAGGGUCUGGGAAACCAGGUCUCUCCCACAAGGACAGUUGGACAGGUGAUGCAUGGUUGUCGUCAGUUCGUGGUUUGAAUUGUUCCCUUAAGUGGGGUAACGAACGCAACCCUUGUCGUCUGUUAUAAGUGUCAGACGAGACUGCCCUGCUCAGCAGGGAGGAAGCGAGGAUGACGCCAAAUCAGCAUGUCCCUCGACGCCUUGGGCUACACACAUAAUACAAUGGUCAUUACAGAGAGUCGCAAUAUCGUAAGAUGGAGCUAAUCUUUAAAAGUGGCCCCAGUUCGGAUUGAGGUCUGCAACUCGACCUCAUGAAGCCGGAAUCGCUAGUAAUCGCAGGUCAGCUAUACUGCGGUGAAUACGUUCUCGAGCCUUGUACUCACUGCCCGUCAAGCCAGGGGAGCCGGGAGUGCCCAAAGUGCCGUUUCGGCGGUCCUAAGGCAAGCUCGGUAACAAGGGUUAAGUCGUAACAAGGCACGGCUAGCGGAAGCUGGUCGUG